rnacentral:lncRNA from 1 species
ACAUGGCAAGCAGGGGCCAGAUUAUAUACACUGCCUUAAAGAUUAUGGUCUUUAUCCUCAGUGCAACAAAAUAAAGUCAUUGAAGAGUUUUAAGUAGAGGACUGACAUGAUGACAUGUUAGGUUCAGCCUUCUGAAGAAUUUGAGAAUCCAUCAUUGCACUGGAAAAUGGAACAAAAAGUCGACUUCAAAGGACCUUGCCCACAAAAGACACCAGAAUGGCAUGAAAAUGCACCUCACAGACAGAGCACCCAGCUGCUGUGCUUUGAAGUCAGCCACACCUCCCAUUCAUUGCUGUUACCAAUGGACUGACUGAAUGCUGUGGCGAUACUGAGGCCGUCUUAGUCCCGGAAGACAGGUGGGGCUCCUUUGUCCACCGCUUAGGCUGGAGUACUUCCCCAUGGCUUUGACAAACAAUCCUUAGACUGCAGAGUAGUGUAGGAUUCUUCCAUUCAACCUUCUCUCCCUCAUCCUGGGGUCAGACUUGGAUGCAGUCCGACAGCUGUCCCAGCCUUUCCUAGCUCCUUCUUUAUUUCUUUUUACACAGGCAUUUCCCACUAUUAAAAUCCUGACAUAUUUAAUCCUGUCUUUGUAUCUGUUUCUCUGAGGUCCUGGGCUAACACAAUUUCCCUUCUGGAACUUUUAUGAAAAAUGAGCAAGUGGAGACAUUGAUCUUAUUUUCUAAUAUCUGGGUGAUCUACUAUUUGGUUCUUAUGCAUUAAAUUAGAUUUUGAAAUCUUAAACUCAGGUCCGGGUCUCUUUGAGCUUUGCUAAUUAGUGCAUGGUGUGGAAAAGCUCAUGUGUCCUAGGGAACCACUUGACACUUUGAUGCUCCAUGGCAUCAAAGCAUGAAGAAUGAAAUAAAAUGGUAUAAUUAUUUUGUAUUUUAACUAUAAGAUCUCAAA